AUGGCCUUGACCGGCGGAGACAGCGGCUGUGCUCGCGGCGGGCUCGUCUGCGUGACUGGCGCCAGCGGUUUCAUCGGCUCCUGGCUCGUCCGCCUCCUCCUCGACCGUGGCUACACCGUCCACGCCACCGUCCAGAACCUCCAGUACGAGGGCGAGACGAAGCACCUGCAGGCUCUGGAUGGCGCGGACACGCGGCUCCGGCUGUUCCAGAUGGACCUCCUCGACCCCGCGUCCGUCAGGCCGGCGGUCGAGGGCGUCCACGGCGUCUUCCACCUGGCCUCCCCCGUGACACUGCAGCCCGCACAAGACCCUGAGAACGAGCUGCUGCUGCCGGCGGUCAACGGCACGCUCAACGUCCUCCGCGCCGCCAAAGACAGCGGCAUAAAGCGUGUCGUGAUGGUGUCGUCGCAGACGGCCAUGUUUCCGAGGAGGACAAACAGGGCUGGUUGGUGA
rnacentral:rRNA from 1 species